rnacentral:rRNA from 1 species
AACGAACGCUGGCGGCAUGCCUAACACAUGCAAGUCGAACGAGACCUUCGGGUCUAGUGGCGCACGGGUGCGUAACGCGUGGGAACCUGCCUUUAGGUGCGGAAUAACUCAGAGAAAUUUGAGCUAAUACCGGAUGAUGUCUUCGGACCAAAGAUUUAUCGCCUUUAGAUGGGCCCGCGUUGGAUUAGCUAGUUGGUGGGGUAAAGGCCUACCAAGGCGACGAUCCAUAGCUGGUCUGAGAGGAUGAUCAGCCACACUGGGACUGAGACACGGCCCAGACUCCUACGGGAGGCAGCAGUGGGGAAUAUUGGACAAUGGGCGAAAGCCUGAUCCAGCAAUGCCGCGUGAGUGAUGAAGGCCUUAGGGUUGUAAAGCUCUUUUACCCGAGAUGAUAAUGACAGUAUCGGGAGAAUAAGCUCCGGCUAACUCCGUG